UACAGAGACUGCAAGCGUUUAUUCGGAUUCACUGGGCGUAAAGGGUGCGCAGGUGGUCGUGUGUGUCAGAUGUGAAAUCCCGGAGCUUAACUCCGGAACUGCGUCUGAAACUGCACGACUAGAGCAUUGGAGAGGGUAGUGGAAUUCACGGUGUAGCAGUGAAAUGCGUAGAUAUCGUGAGGAACACCAGAGGCGAAGGCGACUACCUGGACAAUUGCUGACACUCAGGCACGAAAGCAUGGGGAGCAAACAGG
rnacentral:rRNA from 1 species